UAUAAUAACUGUAAUAUUAUAACUGUAAUAUAAUAACUAAUAUUAUUAUAACUGUAAUAUAAUAACAGUAAUUGAAAGGUAGCCAUUUUUAUUCACACACACAAAGUAACCUCCAUAUCAGAAUAAAAAGAAAAUGUAUAAAGCAUAAUAUACUGUUAUAUAUAUAUAUAUAUAAACACAUAAACAAAAACAAGAAAAUUAUAUGUAGCCUACAGUGCUGUAAAUAAAUACAGUAUAUGGUAUUCAUGGUAUUAUGUUGAUAUGAUCAUGUUGACUAAUUUUGACAAUUGAACAGAUUAUUGUGCAGGUGAUGACUUAUAGAAUGAAAUGAUGCUGACAUGUUUUGGAGAGAACAACCAUUAGACUGAGAAUCAAUCAAUCAGUUUAGAUCAACAGGAUCUAUUCACUUGGAAAUUGUGCUAAAUGUAGGCUAACUGUAGGCUAACUGUAGGUUAACUGUACUUAAUCAUUUGCAAAGAUGAACUAAGACAUUUGCAAUGUGUGCAAUUGAGAGAGAAGAGGUUCAACAAGCUCCUUUCAAGAUUUGUCCUCUACAUUUAACAUGGGAGUAGAUGGGGCCGUGAGAGGGUGUUGCUGGCGCAUCAGUGCGUCUCCCGCCAAAACUAUUUGUCUGACAGCUUCAGCAGUAGUAUAACUGUGACCCCAACGGAUUUAGCUACGUUUCUUUCUAUAAAUUACUUUUAUAGAGUUUACAAAUUUAUUUUAUAUUAUUAUUUUAAUUUGUUUUUUUCAGUUGAAAUUCUCGCAAUACACACCCAUUCAUUUUUUGGACCGUUUUUUUGCGAUUUAUCGGCAAACUGUUUGGCGUAACGCUUAGAAAAGUCACAGCACUAAUGUCCUCACCGAGCCGCACGUUUUGAUACCUUUUUUGUGUACGUGCGACCAAAACUGCGGGAGGAGAAGCGCGCCAAAAACGUACGGAAGAAUAAAAUAUUAUAAGUAUGGGGAAGAGUAGUAUUGUUCUUUUCAAGGAACAAUAAUUAGAUUAUUGUCUAUUUAAUUCUGGACAUUUGACCGUUUCCCACCAAGACUUUGUUGUCUAUCAGACAUCAAGAAUACAGAAAUAUGUCUUCCAAGAUGAAUAUAAUAAUGUAUAUAAUGUACACAGAUGUUUAUCCUGAUAAAUUGUUGUGGUUUGCUGUCUCCAGGCAACUUACUGUAAAUGUUUUGUAUGUGAAAUCAUUGAUCUGUUUGUUUUCAUCUGUUCAGCAGCUCUAACACAUCUGUCUCCUCUUCCAGUUAUGGGUGGUUCAACACUGCUCUCAUGGUGGAAGGUAAAUCCUAUUUGCCUUGGCUGAUGGAUUGGGGGUCAGUGUAGACACUGUGGAGGAUUACAAGUACCUGGGAGUUCACAUGGACAAUAAACUGAACUGGACUAAGAACACUCAAGCCCUCUACAGGAAGAGCCAAAGCCAUCUCUAUUUUCUGAGGAGGCUGAGGUCCUUCAUCAUCUGCAGGACCAUGCUGAGGAUGUUCAAUGAGUCUGUGGUGGCCAGUAAUACUGUGGAAUAUGUUUACAUUUAGGAAACAGGAAAUAGAAAUGAAGCAGGCAGAUGUGUGUCUCUUUCUUCAGUGUCUUCUCAAGUUAUUUUAUUAAACAUUUACCAACUGCAAACAGUCA